UACGUAGGGGCCGAGCGUUGUCCGGAGUUAUUGGGCGUAAAGCGCGCGCAGGCGGCCUCGCGCGCCCGACGUGAAAGCCCCCGGCUUAACCGGGGAGGGUCGUUGGGGACGGCGGGGCUUGAGGGCGGGAGAGGGUGGUGGAAUUCCCGGUGUAGUGGUGAAAUGCGUAGAAAUCGGGAGGAACACCCGUGGCGAAGGCGGCCACCUGGGCCGACCCUGACGCUGAGGCGCGAAGGCGUGGGGAGCGAACGGG
rnacentral:rRNA from 1 species